rnacentral:rRNA from 1 species
AACGAACGCUGGCGGCAGGCUUAACACAUGCAAGUCGAACGCAUCCUUCGGGGUGAGUGGCAGACGGGUGAGUAACGCGUGGGAACGUGCCCUUCAGUUCGGGAUAACCAGGGAAACUUGGGCUAAUACCGGAUACGUGCGAGAGCUGAAAGAUUUAUCGCUGAAGGAUCGGCCCGCGUCUGAUUAGCUAGUUGGUGGGGUAAUGGCCCACCAAGGCGACGAUCAGUAGCUGGUCUGAGAGGAUGAUCAGCCACAUUGGGACUGAGACACGGCCCAAACUCCUACGGGAGGCAGCAGUGGGGAGUAUUGGACAAUGGGCGCAAGCCUGAUCCAGCCAUGCUGCGUGAGUGAUGAAGGCCUUAGGGUUGUAAAGCUCUUUCGUCCGGGACGAUAAUGACGGUACCGGAAGAAGAAGCCCCGGCUAACUUCGUGCCAGCCGCCGCCGUAA